rnacentral:rRNA from 1 species
UCUCGCCUGUUUAUCAAAAACAUCGCCUCUUGAGAAAAAGGAACAAGAGGUCGGGCCUGCCCGGUGAGUAACCAUUUAAACGGCCGCAGUGAAUAGCUGUGCUAAGGUAGCGUAAUAAAUUGUCUCUUAAUUGGAGAAGGGUAUGAAUGGUUUGACGUAAGGGUUUCUGUCUCAACAAUAGUAAUGUGAAGUUUUCUUUUAAGUCAAAAGGCUUAAAUUAUAUUAAAAGACGAGAAGACCCUGUCGAGCUUGAUAAAAUUGUAAAGUGUUUUUACAUAAUAAGUUUAACUGGGGCAGUUAAAAACCAAAAAAUAGUUUUUUAUUUUAUGAAGAUCCGGUUGUACCGAUCAUAAGAAAAAGCUACCGCAGGGAUAACAGCGUUAUCCUCCCUGAGAGAACUUAUUGAAGGGGGGGUUUGCGACCUCGAUGUUGGAUUAAAGUUUCUUUUUGGUGUAGCAGCUAAAAAAGUAGGACUGUUCGUCCUUUAAAACUUUACGUGAUCUGAGUUCAGACCGGA